rnacentral:rRNA from 1 species
UACGUAGGGACCAAGCGUUGUUCGGAUUUACUGGGCGUAAAGGGCGCGUAGGCGGCUUAACAAGUCACUUGUGAAAUCCCCAGGCUUAACCUGGGAACUGCAUCCGAUACUGGAUGGCUUGAAUCCGGGAGAGGGAUGCAGAAUUCCAGGUGUAGCGGUGAAAUGCGUAGAUAUCUGGAGGAAUACCGGUGGCGAAGGCGGCAUCCUGGACCGGCAUUGACGCUGAUGAGCGAAAGCUAGGGGAGCAAACGGG